UACGUAGGGUGCAAGCGUUGUCCGGAAUUAUUGGGCGUAAAGAGCUCGUAGGCGGUUUGUCGCGUCUGCUGUGAAAACUGGAGGCUCAACCUCCAGCCUGCAGUGGGUACGGGCAGACUAGAGUGCGGUAGGGGAGAUUGGAAUUCCUGGUGUAGCGGUGGAAUGCGCAGAUAUCAGGAGGAACACCGAUGGCGAAGGCAGGUCUCUGGGCAUUAACUGACGCUGAGGAGCGAAAGCAUGGGGAGCGAACAGG
rnacentral:rRNA from 1 species